AUGGCCGCCGGCGUCUGGAACGUCCUGGACUGGUUCCCCGGAGGCGAGGCCAUCCUCAGGGCCGAGAGCGCCUUCCUCUCCGCCAGCACCGCCGCGGGCGGCGAGGACCGCAUCAGCGCCCUCCACGACCACCUCCUCAGGGACAUCGUGUCCCGCCUCCCCGCCAGGGACGCCGCCCGCACCGCCGCGCUCGCCUACCGCUGGCGCCACCUCCGGGAGCUCACCCUGCUCGGCGUCCACAUGCCCGACUGCGACAACCUCGACCACCUGCUCCCCCGCAGCCCCGUUCUGGACACCCUCGUCGUCGUCCUCAGCCGUAUAUUCCACCACAUUCACCUCUGCAGCCAGAGCCUCAAAUCAGCGCUCCUCUGGAGUUACUACGCGCAGGAGAUCGCCGUCAUGGACUGCCCGCUCCUGGAAAGCCUCAUUCUGUGCGAUGUCUCAUUCGGUGAAGGUGAUUCGGUGGCUGUAAAGAUUGCUGCUGCGCCCAAGCUGCGCGUGUUGGGCUACCUGGAGCCAAGAGUCCACCAGCUCAAGAUUGGCAACAAUCUCAUCAAGCCUGACACGAAGCCGAGCCCGAGCACCGUGGUUCCGAGCGUCAAGAUACUGGCCUUGAAGGUGAACUUUGGUGUCCUCAAGGAGGUCAAGAUGCUGGCCAGCUUCCUCAGAUGCUUCCCCGACAUUGAAAUGCUGCACAUCGAGUCUCUCCCAGCCGAUGAACGCACUCGAAAGCACAAUGCCAAAUUCUGGCGAGAGCUCUGUCCUAUCGAAUGUCUCAAGUCACACGUCACCGAGAUGAUCGUCCAUGAAUUCCGGGGGGAUCGAAGCGAGAUGGAGUUCCUCAAGUUUGUCGACAGGAGCGCGGACGAGAUGUUGUAUUUGCUCGUCAGGACCACUGCAGAAAUAUUCGCUUCGGCGGAUGAGAUGGAUGAGCUGAUGACUAAAAUGGAAGAUUUUACGCACCGAGGGUGGGUCUGCGAUCACUCCAUAGUGGUGCACUGGUGGUGGGGGAGCCUUUGGAGGAGAACCUCUGGAGUUUCAGCAAAGCGUCGGAUCUCUCUGCUGACAACCCUUUCCAGUGUUGGUCCUAGUGUUCUGAGGGGGAUUCAAUUCAGCACUAGACAGCCAAAAGGAAGACACAAUAAGCUGGCCAAGCUCAUAUGCAUGCACCUCUGCCAACUGAACCAUCUAAUACCUCACCGGAGAGAAACGCCAAAAGCAAUUUUCAGACCCCAGAGCCAAAGAAAGCCAUACAUCACAAUUUAG
rnacentral:rRNA from 1 species